rnacentral:rRNA from 1 species
UACGUAGGGGGCAAGCGUUGUCCGGAUUUAUUGGGCGUAAAGAGCGUGUAGGCGGCCAGACAGGUCCGUUGUGAAAACUCGAGGCUUAACCUCGAGAUGUCAUCGGAAACCAUUUGGCUAGAGUCCGGAAGAGGAGAGUGGAAUUCCUGGUGUAGCGGUGAAAUGCGCAGAUAUCAGGAAGAACACCAAUGGCGAAAGCAGCUCUCUGGGACGGUACUGACGCUGAGACGCGAAAGCGUGGGGAGCGAACAGG